rnacentral:sRNA from 1 species
GGGGGUGACCGGUUUCGACUUUGGCAUUACAAGCCAGGGGAAGCGGGCCGAGGACGGCGGACAUAACCUCGUUAACACUGUGUCCGCGAACAAAUAAGUGCCAAUACCAAGGCCACUUCGGUUAGCCAGGGUUCCCUGGCUCUCGCUGCCUAAGCAGACGAGUUAAACCGUGUCAGCCCGGGAUCGCCUCCGGCCCGGGAUCUGGCAUCGCUAGGAGGCUCCACCAUCUUCGCCGGCCGCGGGGGAAGGUGGGAAAUCAAACAGCGGAUGAGCCCGUCGGCGACUCGCCUGUGAGAGCGCCGGGGCUGAGAAAACGUUAAACAGGCUGCGCCCGGAGAAGCCCUGACUCGGUGCUGAAGGACGCGGGUUCGAUUCCCGCCACCUCCAC